GACGAACGCUGGCGGCGCGCCUAACACAUGCAGGUCGAGCGGAGAUAUUUGAAGGAAGUUUUCGGAUGGAAUUUGGGUAUUUUAGCGGCGGACGGGUAAGUAACGCGUGAGUGACCUGCCUUCCACAGGGGGAUAACGUACCGAAAGGUACACUAAUACCGCAUGAGACCACAGCACUGCCUGGUGCAGGGGUCAAAGGAGCAAUCCGGUGGAAGAUGGACUCGCGUCCGAUUAGAUAGUUGGUGGGGUAACGGCCUACCAAGUCAGCGAUCGGUAGCCGACCUGAGAGGGUGAUCGGCCACAUUGGAACUGAGAGACGGUCCAAAUUCCUACGGGAGGCAGCAGUGGGGAAUAUUGGGCAAUGGGGGAAACCCUGACCCAGCGACGCCGCGUGAGGGAAGAAGGUUUUCGGAUUGUAAACCUCUGUUCUUGGUGAAGAGGGAAAGACGGUAGCCAAGGAGGAAGCCCCGGCUAACUACGUGCCAGCCGCCGCAGUAA
rnacentral:rRNA from 1 species